rnacentral:rRNA from 1 species
UACGGAGGGGGCUAGCGUUGUUCGGAAUUACUGGGCGUAAAGCGCACGUAGGCGGCUUUGUAAGUUAGAGGUGAAAGCCCGGGGCUCAACCCCGGAAUUGCCUUUAAGACUGCAUCGCUAGAAUUGUGGAGAGGUAAGUGGAAUUCCGAGUGUAGAGGUGAAAUUCGUAGAUAUUCGGAAGAACACCAGUGGCGAAGGCGACUUACUGGACACAUAUUGAUGCUGAGGUGCGAAAGCGUGGGGAGCAAACAGG